rnacentral:rRNA from 1 species
GGCCUACUCAUAGCCCAACCACCUUCCCUAAACUCAACCAACCUUAAAACAAAUCAUUUGCCAAGAACAGUAUAGGUGAUAAAAC